AGGAGGCGGGCUCGGCGGCCGGCUGAGGCUGAUUAACUUCCAGGUCGAGGUGAUAAAAAAAACACACCAACGGAGAGAAGGCGAGGAAAAAAAAAAGGGGAGUCAAACUCCGGGACCCGGCUCGCUGGGCGCUCGCCUCCGGCACCCAAGCGCCGCGAUGGAGGAAGCUUCUCCUUAUUCUUUACUUGAUAUCUGUUUGAAUUUCCUGACUGCCAACCUAGAGAAGUUUUGCACAGAAAGGCAGGAUGGAACACUGUGUUUGCAGGAGCCAGGAAUGUUUCCUCAAGAAGUGGCUGAUCGAUUGCUACAGACAAUGGCUUUUCAUGGGCUUCUGAAUGAUGGAACUGUGGGCAUCUUCCGAGGUAACCAGAUGCGUUUGAAACGAGCUUGUAUCCGGAAAGCGAAAAUCUCUGCUGUGGCUUUCCGGAAAGCGUUCUGCCAUCACAAGCUGGUAGAACUUGAUGCUACUGGGGUAAAUGCUGAUAUAACAAUCACAGACAUUAUAAGUGGACUCGGCAGCAAUAAAUGGAUCCAACAAAAUCUGCAAUGCCUUGUGCUGAACUCACUGACUCUUUCUUUGGAAGACCCAUAUGAGAGGUGCUUCAGUCAGUUGUCUGGGCUUCGUGCGUUGAGUAUUACCAAUGUUCUGUUCUACAACGAGGACUUGGCAGAUGUUGCUUCACUUCCUAGGCUAGAAAGUCUGGAUAUAUCGAACACCUCUGUCACUGACAUAACAGCACUCCUCACCUGCAAAGAGCGACUCAAGUCUUUGACCAUGCACCACCUGAAAUGCUUGAAAAUGACCACAACUCAGAUUCUGGAUGUUAUAAGAGAACUAAAAUACCUGAGUCACCUUGAUAUUUCUGAUGACAAACAGUUCACAUCAGACAUAGCACUUCGUUUACUGGAACAGAAAGACAUCUUGCCUAACCUUGUGUCUUUGGACAUUUCUGGAAGAAAACAUGUUACUGACAAAGCUGUAGAAGCGUUUAUUCAGCAACGGCCCACAAUGCAGUUUGUGGGACUGCUGGCUACGGAUGCUGGCUACUCAGAAUUCCUAACGGGAGAAGGAAACUUAAAGGUGUCAGGAGAAGCAAAUGAAACUCAGAUUUCUGAAGCACUGAAGCGUUACAGUGAACGGGCGUUCUUUGUGAGAGAAGCACUCUUUCAUUUAUUCAGCCUGACGCAUGUAAUGGAAAAAACAAAGCCUGAAAUUUUAAAGCUUGUGGUAAUUGGAAUGAGAAAUCACCCCCUAAACUUGCCUGUGCAGUUGGCAGCAAGUGCGUGUGUCUUCAACCUGACCAAGCAAGAUUUAGCAGCAGGGAUGCCUGUGCGACUUCUGGCUGAUGUCACUCACUUGCUCCUGAAGGCCAUGGAACACUUCCCAAAUCAUCAGCAGCUGCAAAAGAAUUGCCUGCUUUCACUAUGCAGUGACAGAAUCCUUCAGGAUGUUCCAUUUAACAGGUUUGAAGCAGCCAAACUUGUUAUGCAGUGGCUAUGUAAUCAUGAAGAUCAGAACAUGCAAAGGAUGGCUGUAGCCAUAAUUUCCAUUCUUGCUGCAAAGCUUUCAACAGAGCAAACAGCUCAACUUGGUGCAGAACUCUUCAUUGUUAGGCAACUUCUACAAAUAGUUAAACAGAAAACAAAUCAGAAUCUUGUAGAUACUACACUCAAGUUCACUCUGAGCGCACUUUGGAACCUCACUGAUGAAUCUCCAACAACGUGUCGGCACUUCAUUGAAAAUCAAGGGUUAGAACUUUUCAUGAGAGUCUUAGAGUCUUUUCCAUUGGAAUCAUCUAUCCAACAGAAAGUUCUUGGUCUUCUGAAUAACAUAGCUGAAGUUAAAGAACUCCAUUCGGAGUUAAUGUGGAAGGACUUUAUAGACCACAUCAGUAAAUUAUUGCACAGUGUGGAGGUGGAAGUUAGCUACUUCGCAGCAGGGAUUAUUGCUCACUUGAUAUCACGAGGAGAGCAGGCCUGGACAUUAAGUCGCAGCCAGAGGACGUCUCUCCUUGAACAGCUGGUACAGAAAUGAUGCAUUCUGCCAUUUUGAGUUGGCCAACCCCAGAAUGUGAGAUGGUGGCUUACAGGUCUUUCAAUCCGUUUUUUCCACUACUUGGCUGCUUCAUGACACCUGGCGUCCAGUUAUGGGCAGUGUGGGCCAUGCAGCAUGUCUGCAGCAAAAAUCCUGCCAGAUAUUGCAGCAUGUUAAUUGAAGAAGGUGGUUUACAGCACUUAUACAACAUCAAGGAAAACGUCCAGACUGAUCCACACGUCCAAAGGAUUGCUAUUGCCAUCCUAGAUAGUUUGGAAAAGCACAUUAUGCGUCACGGGAGACCACCGCCAUGUAGAAAACCACAACAAAAUAAACCAAACUGAAAGUCACAGCUAUAGGAGUGUAAAGUAUUGUCACUGUAAUAAUCCUUUCCAAUGUGUGUGUAGCUGGAGUAACUUGUAAUAUAGUGGUCACCAUUAAAGUGAUUUGCCAAUACUUGUGGUACCCAGAACAAUGUACGGUAACCUUUGGUGAAUGCUAACUUUAAUGGCAACCGCAUAUGCAACUUGUGAAGGGUCACUUGAUGCUUGAGUUGGUCACACCCCUAGGAUUUCUGCUGGCUACAGAGAGAUGGGACUUGUACAGAUCAGUAUGCACAUCUGAAAGAGACUUCUAGGAAUAUCUUAUUUGGUGAUUUCUGGGACAGAAAAUUAUAUCAUCCCUCUGAUUGCUGUUGAUAAUGCUGUUUAUCAGUUUGGUGUUUGAAUAGAACUGUGUGUGGUUGUGAGAUUCAACACUUUUACCAAUUACAACAAAAGUACAUGCAUGCAGGUUACAGUGAGACUUGUAACUAAGGCGACCAAAUUGUCUGUCUCAUAACCCUUCUAAACACAACUGGGGUCUUAAUUUUCCUUUUGCCUGCAAGUGUGUUCUUUUGUUUUCCUUACUGCUAGAAAUGCCUUUUUGCAUUUCUGCUCUGCUGAGUCCUAAGGUGGGCAUCAGCAUUGCAUCAGGGAAAAGGGAAACCUGCUCAGCUAAAGCAAUAGAAACAGGAUUAAAAGGAGACACAAUACUAAAAGGAUAAACUACGCUUGAGAUUUUAAACUUGAUUGCAAGAAGGGGUUUUUGUUGCUGUUUGACUGCUUCUGAUUGCGUGUGGUAUCUAUCUUUCAAUUUUAGAAUACAGAUAGGGAAAGAGAAGGCUCAUAAGAGCAAAAUGCUGACUUGUGUUCAUCAUGAGGGGGAUUGCAUGUCUCCAUAGGAGGCCCAGGAUAUUUGGUCACCUUAUUUAUAAGAAACUAAUGAUAGCUCUGUUCUCUGUAAAUAUUCUGUCAGUAUUGUGCAGUGAGUUGUAUUCCAGGUCAUCACAGUGCAAAAUAUCACCCGAUGUCCUAUGUAAGCCCUGUGUCAAUUGCAUUGUUUUGUGGAGUGUGAAAUUUUACAUGAAGAUGCUAAUUGUAACAACUUCUUUCUUUCUUUCUUGGUUACCUAUGGGUUUCAAAUGAUGUGUUGAAUGAAAUAUAUUGCACAGCAUACAGAUGCCUGAUAAAAUACAAGUGAUGGAAGCAAA